CUUUUACAGCCUCAUCUGUCUUCUCCCUAACGAAUCUUCAGAAUGUCUUUUAGCCAUGCCAGGAUUUUGUAGGUGAUAACUUAUCUCUCUUUAUCCAUUCAGCUUUGAAGUUUGCACAUGGGCAUUGUUCACCUCGUCAGGAAGAAUCAGCUUUUCCAUGAAGAAAGGAGUGUGAAGGAUCCUAUGAAACCAGUUGAAAUUUGGACUACACUGUUUUUACUGUGAGCUGCUAAGUUUGGGAGUCUUGUGGACAGAAUCCAGAGUGAGCCACCCCAUGCUUAGUUCAUCAUGUGACCUCUCUUCCAGCACUUUGGAUCUUAGCUUUUGGGCCUGAAGACUAAGAAUGGAGCAUCAAUAAUUAAAGGUACAAUCACAGCUGAAGCUUCCGUUAGUUAUUUUUCUUCAACCCUGACAUUUUAUGAGUCAACAA
rnacentral:lncRNA from 1 species